rnacentral:rRNA from 1 species
AAACUAACAAGGAUUCCCCUAGUAACGGCGAGUGAACCGGGAAGAGCUCAAAUUUGAAAUCUGGCGUGCUCAGUGCGUCCGAGUUGUAAUCUAUAGAGUCGUUUUCCGUGCCGGACUGUGUCCAAGUCCCUUGGAACAGGGUAUCAAAGAGGGUGAUAAUCCCGUACUUGACACAAUGACCGGUGCUCUGUGAUACGUCUUCUACGAGUCGAGUUGUUUGGGAAUGCAGCUCAAAAUGGGUGGUGAGUUCCAUCUAAAGCUAAAUAUUGGCGAGAGACCGAUAGCGAACAAGUACCGUGAGGGAAAGAUGAAAAGCACUUUGGAAAGAGAGUUAAACAGUACGUGAAAUUGUUAAAAGGGAAACGAUUGAAGUCAGUCGUGACUGAGAGGCUCAGCCGGUUCUGCCGGUGUAUUCCCCUCAGUCGGGUCAACAUCAGUUUUGUUCGGUGGAUAAGGGCAGUUGGAAGGUGGCACCCUCGGGUGUGUUAUAGCCAGCUGUCGCAUACAUCGGAUGAGACUGAGGAAUGCAGCUCGCCUUUAUGGCCGGGGUUCGCCCACGUUCGAGCUAGGA